GUCGGGGACGUCUGCCGUAAGGCACAGGGGAGAGCGUUAAUGCCGCAUUGCCGUAAGGCGCGCAGGGAGCCGGAAGCCUGGUGCGCAGAAUACCACCACAACUGCGGAAGCAGCUGGAGGCACCGAGGUACUGCAACCCCUCACCUGGAACUCUUGGCUCCUGUGAAGACAUAAGUUUCAUCUAAUCUGGCGGCACUUCGGCCAUUGUGCUGGAACAAGUCAAGACUAUCCUAUCACUCUGUCUUUGACAUAUGAAAUACAGAAUGUCUGAAGCCCUGUUUGCCGUGUAUUAACACUAAUUGUUUUGAGCAAUCCCAUUUCGGUGAGUCUAGCCUGAAGAAUUUAAGAACAGUACAUUAAGAAAUUUCAAAAAUACAUUUACAACCCCAUGGUUGGCAAAAGCAAAAUAUUAGAAAACUUCUUCAUUUCAUUUAAUUGAAGAAUAAGGCCCCAGUGCACAAUAUUGAACUAUCUUCUACCUUCACCCACGCUCAGAAGAACUACAGAGGAAAGGUUUUAGUGUAUUCAUCUACCUGAAAAGAAGACCCAGUAUUUCCUAAAAUAUUUCUGUGAAUUUAGAAAAUAUUGUAUUGGGAUUUGUUUCCUAAGUAUUAUAAAGGCCUUUGGAGUUAUGACCUAUAAUCCAUCCCAAACCAUCCAAAACCACAAAAACAGUGUAAUAUCAUGGCUCUUGACAUAGACUUUGGUGAUAAACAGGCUUGGGAGACAAUUCUAGGUCUGUUCUCACUACCCAUGAGACUUGGGCAACUUGUAUUUUUGAGUCUAAUGUACAUAAUAAUACCACCAAUCUCAUUAGUUUGCUGUGCAGAUUAAAUGAGAUUAUAAAAGUUUUAAGUGCAGUAAAUUCCUGGGAAACAGUAAGAGGUAAUACCUAGCUUUAUUGAUGAUUGUAUUCAUGCAAAGAUUGUUAUGCACAAAUCAUAUAUAUGAGAACACAUACACGGUUAAGAGAGUAAGAUGAAAAGGAGACAAAGUAGUGUAGCAUGUGUCAAUCUAAAUAAAAAGGUAAACUGAAGCAAGCUCAAAUUACCAGAAAUUGAGUUUAUUGACGAAAUUCAAGAAUAGCCAGAGAAUUGCAGUUUGGGACAUGCAAACAGUAGCAAGCUACAGGCAAGUCCUUUGAAAGUUUGGGGUAGAUUUUAUUUAUGGGCAAAGAGUGCACGGUAGGAGGUUGGGGGAGGGAGUCUAGCCAGAGUCCAAGCAGUGAGUUCAUGAGCUUGAAGAUGGAGAGAGAUUCUUGAUGGAUGUUUCUGGGUCAGGAGGUAAGUUUUGGUCUUCUCUAAAUCAGGCAUUUACAGGAAAUCAGUCUCUCAGUUCUUAAAAGUUUUGUUUUCCUGAGAGUAGAUGCAUGAGAUUUUUCUAGUGCCAUUUUAGAUUGAAAUUCUUUCACACGUUAAAUUACUGAUUUAUUCAAUAGCCCACUAGUAGAUACCAGAGGAGAUCCCAAUUUUAUAAGUGACACAGACCAAUACAAAACAUAUACAAAGCACUAUGAUAAGUGCCAUAAUAGAAUCAUAGACAUGUUUAGAGCAGAACCACAUAAAGGACUUAAACUAAACUGGAGUGAUUAGGAAAGAUCUUUUAGGGCUGCUGGUUGACCGAGCCUCUGUGGACAAGUAGAGAAGGUAUUUUAUGCAAAGGCAACAAAUUGCCUAAAGGCAAGAAAAAGCAUGGAUGCCUAGGGAUUGGGGCAUAAUUUGUUUUUACUAGAGGGUAGGGAUACCAGUGAGAGAAAUGCAAGAGAUUCAAAUGAGAAAAGUAGUCAGAAGAUGAAGGGCCAUUUUGCCAUGCUGAAUUUUCAUUUGUAUCCAUUAGAUGAUGGGGCGUAAUUUGGCAAAACCAAAAUGUUUGUAGUUUUUAAGCAAGAACUAAUUCGGCAUAUAUUUUGGAAUGCUCACUCAAAAAUGAGUUGUAGAGGUCAUACUGGGAAGCAGAAAUCCAUUGGGGGGAAAAGUGGAUUCAGAGAUGUAAGGGAUUCAGCUUUUAGUUUUGGCUUAUGCAUUAACCAGUUGGCCUGAACUCAAUCAAGUUUUUUACUUCUUUGUUCUUCAG